rnacentral:rRNA from 1 species
AACGCGAAGAACCUUACCUACCCUUGACAUCCAGAGAAUUUUGCAGAGAUGCGAAAGUGCCGAAAGGAACUUUGAGACAGGUGCUGCAUGGCUGUCGUCAGCUCGUGUUGUGAGAUGUUGGGUUAAGUCCCGUAACGAGCGCAACCCUUAUCCUUAGUUGCCAUCAUUUAGUUGGGGACUCUAAGGAGACUGCUGGUGAAGAACCGGAGGAAGGCGGGGACGACGUCAAGUCAUCAUGGCCUUUAUGGGUAGGGCUACACACGUGCUACAAUGGGGCGUACAGAGGGAAGCCAACUCGCGAGAGGGAGCCAAUCUCAGAAAGCGUCUCGUAGUCCGGAUCGGAGUCUGCAACUCGACUCCGUGAAGUCGGAAUCGCUAGUAAUCGCGAAUCAGAACGUCGCGGUGAAUACGUUCCCGGGCCUUGUACACACCGGACACGC